CUCCGGGUAAGUGCCUCCCCUGGGGCUGCAUUCUAAUAAGCUAGUCCAAAAUAGUUCGUGGAAUACAUCUUGAUGUAUUGAAUCGCAUUGCAAAAACAAGCUACUUCUUCGCAUUACGCGUCAUGCGAGAGCAUUCAAACAGGACUCAGUGUACUGCUUUUUCUGUUACAUUAGUAAUAACAGCAGCAUUGACUGAAGACAGCAGGAGCGCAAGACAACGCUUGUAUCUCUGAGUGCAGAGCCAACGGAGGAAUAUUUGAGCUUGUAUUUACUCUACGGCUUGUUGUUCAUUUUUUCUACUUUGUGGUUACUUGUACAGUCACGUGUGAAGAUUUCUUGAAGCUGAACGUACACCGACUUCUUCUCACCUGGAGGCUCUUGUUUUCCUAUAGGAAAUAACGCUGCGUUUUGAUCCUCUACAGACAUCUCUGGACUGGAGUCCUUCCCAUCCUGAGACAGACGGACAACAACCACACGUUUUCACCCUCAGGGAUGAAUUAUGCAACGGCUGUGAGAAGAGCACCCACAUUCUGAAGUCCAAAGUGGUGAGUCAUACAGUCUUUUACAAAAAUCUUCUGCAUGCCCUGUGUUGUGUGUUUGUUCUGAUUAUCAUCCGAUCAGAACAGUCACAUCCACUGCCGAUUCAUGUUGAGAUCAGCUCGAGGGA
rnacentral:lncRNA from 1 species